rnacentral:rRNA from 1 species
UGUUGNGGGAUACAGGNAGGCAUUUAACGUGCAAGUCGAGCGGAAACGAUGGGAGCUUGCUCCCAGGCGUCCAGCGGCGGACGGGUGAGUAACGCGUAGGAAUCUACCCAGUAGUGGGGGAUAGCCCGGGGAAACUCGGAUUAAUACCGCAUACGCCCUACGGGGGAAAGGCCGGGAUCUUCGGACCGGUCGCUAUUGGAUGAGCCUGCGUUGGAUUAGCUAGUUGGUAGGGUAAAGGCCUACCAAGGCGACGAUCCAUAGCUGGUCUGAGAGGAUGAUCAGCCUCACUGGAACUGAGACACGGUCCAGACUCCUACGGGAGGCAGCAGUGGGGAAUAUUGGACAAUGGGCGCAAGCCUGAUCCAGCCAUGCCGCGUGUGUGAAGAAGGCUCUAGGGUUGUGAAGCACU